UUGGUUUGUCAUGUUCUUGCAGUAGCUGAUCAUCUUCCUAUAUCUUGGUUGAAAGAAAUAUCAGAGUUGGCAUUAACUGAAAAAUGCAAAUAUUUUUAAACUAAAAGAUCAGUAUGCUUCAGGGAUAGCUGUUUUAUUGAUUUCAUGUUACCAUAGUAAAAUAUAUCUUCUUUUAAACCAAAAAAAUCAAAAGCCUUUCAAUGAUGGCAUGCCAUCAUUUGCUAGCACAUCCUAAUCUCAGAAAUAUAUGAAAAGUUCACAUCUUAGACUGGAAAAUGUUAAUUUGUAUUGAAAUGUCAUGAAACUUUGAAUAAUAAGAAUGAUGUAAUAUUUAUGGGGAUUUUAAGCUUGAGUGUUUGAAAGUGGAAUGUUUUUGCUUGUUCUGAGUUUGGCUAUGACUCUGGUUUUAAUUAUCCAUGUGCUAUUGUUUGCUGGAGUUUAUAUGUAAUUCUUUCAUUAAUAUAUUUCAACAAACCAUGCUUUUUUCUCCCAAACUUUUCGCUACUCAUUGUUUCCAUUAGUUUCAUUCCUAUUCUUUAUGAUCCAUUUUUUUUUCACUGAUCCAGUUUUACUCUGUAGGUCAUAUUUCCCCCACUUUUAUACUCUCAAUCACUAUGCUAGUUGCGGUAACAAUUUUCCAUCCCUUUUGUGUGUUGUCACAGUAAUUCUUAAAUAGUAUUUCUCUCUUCUGAUUUCUAAAAAAAUUAACUGUCUUCUCUGUUUAAAUAUUUUUAAUCAUUUAUGUUAUACAAAGGUUAAAAUUCCUUAAAAUGCCAUGAGGUUUUUUAUUUUCUAAUUUUAUAUUUGCUCUAUUUCAUUGUUAUUUCAGGAACUGUGAAGGGAGUGCAUGGCAAUUUUUUUCGAAUUAUUAUUUUCUGGGAUUUUGUCUUAGCUCCGGUGUCUUAUUGACUCACUUUUCUUGACCACUUGUGUAUCUUCUCCUUAGUUAUCAAAGAUAGCAAUAGCCUUGAUCUCUUUUUAAGCAAGAAAAGAAAAGCAUUAAAAGACAGAGCAUGUAGUUCACUUGGUCAGAUGACCACCUGUGGUUUGUCUUGGUCUUUGUGUACAAUUCUGUUUGCUCAUUAAUUUCUUCAUCUUCCCAGAACUCAGCAAAAGAGUGAUUCCAUAACCAUGUUCCUGUAUUGAUUGGGACUCAGAGUAAGGAAGAAGAGAAGUGGAGGGGUUCAAGAAGCUAAUGUUAAAUGCUGUGACUAAGCAUGGCAACUUUACUGGAAGCAAAGUAUAUACCCUACAUACAUUAUAUGACUUGCAAAAGCAUGUAUUGAUAUGGAAAAGUCAAGGUUAUGGGCUGAAUGGUGUUCUCCCAAAUUUGCGUAAUAAAACUCUAAGCCCUAGCACAUCACAAUGUAAGUACAUUUGGAGAUAGGUUCCUUAAAAACAUAAUUAAGGUAAAAUGGUUAUUUUACUAUAUUAUGACUGGUACCCUUAUGAGACUGAUUAACAAUACUGGGAAAGUGACAGAGGGAGAAGACAGCCACCCACAGCCCAGGAAUGAGUACUUGCAACAAAUCAACCUUACUGACACCUUGAUCUUGGACUUCUAUUCUCCAAAAUUGUGGAAAAAUAAAUUUUUGUUGUUUAAAUCACCCAGUCUGUGGUACUUCAUUUCUGCAGGAAUGUUUUUCCUCUUAAAUUUUUAUUAAUAUAAAGAGAACAGAUUUCAUGUAUUUUACAGGUACAGUUCUAAGAAGAUAACUAUACAUUUCUCUCUCCUCCUUUCCCUCCCUCAAUCCCUCUCCUUCCUCUCUUUUUUCUUUACUUUUUGCAGACAUAAUUUCAAUCCACUCUACAAUCACAGGCUUAAUUCAACACUAGCCAUCAUAUUGAAUAAGUAAAAGUAAGAAGAACAUAGAACCAGAAGAACAUAAUACCAGAAAUUUAUCUGCUCUCUAUAAUAUCCUGAAGCAUAUCUUCUAAGAACUGUAUCUGGGAUGCAUCAUGGUGGUACCAAUACAAUUGUGAAGAAAACCCCAUCAAACCAAUGACUACCAAAAGGUGGUUGAGAAGACUGACAAAGGCAAAACCAUGGCAAGGUUUUAUUGGGAUGUUUGAAGCAUUUUAAUUGUUGAGGGCCAAAGAGCAAUAGUAUCUGGUCAUUAUGAGAGGUUUUAGAUAAAUCUAAACUUUUCCAAAAAAUCUCCAAGGGAUACUGUCCAGAUAUCCUCCACCAGGUCAACAUCUUGGCUAAGUCCAUUUGUUGAACAGGGUAAGUUUGCAAAUUUCAAAGGAAAAUUCUUAGGGAUCCAUCUCCAAAUCCUCAUUUGUCUGCUCCUGACUUACUUUUGUUUCCAAACCUUUAAAAAUAUUUAUUUAUUUGAAAGGCAGGGUUACAUAGAGAAAGGGAGAGACUUGGAGAGACCGGGAGAGACUGGGAGAGAAAGAGAGAGAAAAAAGAGAGAGAGAAAAGAAACCAUCCAGUGGCUCACUCUCCAAAUAGCUGCAGCAGCUGGGAUUGGGUGAGGACAGGGCCAGGAGCCUGGAACUCUAUCUGGGUUUCCCUUGUGGGUGUCAAAGGCCUGGCAUUGCAGGUGGUGGCUUAAGGUGCUGCAACACAAUGCCAGCACCCUGUUUUCUAAUCUUAAAAAAUCUUUUAAAGGUAAUCAUUUUUCUUUUGUUAAUAAUAUAAAAAUAUAGGCAGCAAUAUCAUUCCUUCUAAAUUACUAUUAUAUUUCCUUUAAUCACCAUAUAUUUUAAAUUUCACUAUCUCAGUAUAAUUUUCAUUUUCUCUUGAUAUCAAUCAUCUCUGUGUGUAUAUAUAUACAUAUAUAUACAUAUUUGUAUAUGUGUGUGUGUGUGUAUAUAUAUAUAUCUUUUAACAUCCUGAUGUAGUUCAAUUCUACUGCUGGGAACAUGUGAGCAUCUUGGUUGAUUUUUCAUUGUGAGGUCAUAGGGUCCACAAAAACCCUGGAUUUCCUUGGUAAAGUUCAUACACCUGGUGUUUCAAACACAAAUUGGGCCAGAGUAGUGAUUCCGCCUUUCCAGAUCAUGUAUUUUUAAAUUUAUUGGAUUUUUAUUGGACUAUAAAUUGGUGUUUUAUUUUGUCAAGUUCAAUUGGAAUUUUUUAAGAUUUUAUUUAAUUAUCUGAGAGGUAGAGUUACAGACAGUGAGAAGAGGAGACAGAAAGGUCGUCUGUCUGGUGGUUCACUCCCCAAACGGCCACAAUGGCCAGAGCUGCGCUGAUGUGAAGCCUGGAGGCAGGAGCCCCCUCCAGGUCUCCCAUGCAGGUGCAGGGGCCCAAGGACUUGGGCCAUCCUCCCCUGCUCCCCCAGGCCACAGCAGAGAGCUGGACUGGAAGAGGAGCAACCGGGACUAGAACCGGCACCCAUAUGGGAUGCCAGCACUGCAGGUGGAGGACCAACCUACUGCAUCACAGCACCGGACACUCUAUUGGAAUUUUUUAUAGAUACUAGAAUCUUUCCUUUAUUUUAUUCUGGUAUGUGCAGUGUUUCUUUGACUUAUGUUUCCUUGUGAAUUUUCAGUUUUGUCUCCAUUUUGAUUGUAAUUGAAAUUACCUACUUUUCAGCAAUUCCCUCGUAUAUGCUUUUCAUUCUGUCAUUUCCUUUUUGAAAUUACUCAUUUCUCAAAUUGAUUACAAUAUUCUUUGUUAGACAACAUAUUUAUCCUUUUUCCAUUUUUUGUUUUCAAGUUAGAAUUUACAAGUAUCACUUCUAUAUACGUCUUUACCAUGUUGGUGUAAUUAAAUCCUAGCACUAUAAAUUUAUGGCAAUUGGUAUUGGCUUUAUCAUUGUAAAAUAAUUAAAUCCCUCAAAUUUUUUUUUCCAUGAGGACUUUCAUGAAUCCAGUUUUCCAGAGCCAUCUUAGAAAAUGGCCCUGGCCAUUGCAGCCAUUUGGGGAGUGAACCAGUGGAUGGAAGCUCUUCCUGUCUCUCUGUCUCUGUUUCUCCAUCUGUGUAACUUUCAAAUAAACCUUUUAAAAAUGGAGACACAGAGGAUGGAGACAUAGAGGAUGGAGACUCAUGAAGACACAUGCUUCAAGCACAAGGAAUAGGACUUUCAAGAGCUGACAUGGAGUACAGAGAUUUUACAAAUGACAACAUACAGCAGUGAAGAAAGGUCACAGUUCUAUGGAGAGUGAAACUGCAGAAAACACAUGGGGUUUCAGGCACAGGAAUGGAGAUAUAUGAAGCCUGACAUGGUUGCAGGCACAUGGGGAUGGAGACACUGGGGCAGACAGGGUCUACACUUAUAGGUUUUGGAAACAAAUGAGAAAAUUAAGAGAAUACAGAUAAAUUAGUGCUUAGAGAAAAUUUGAAUCCUUAAGUGAAUAUGUGAGGACGCUGAAACCAAAUCCAUCUUAGCAUCUUUCUCAAAAAUUACAGUUGAAGGUCUUCAAAGAAGGAGGUACCUUUCUCUGAAGGGAGAAGAGAACCUCCACUUUGACUAUGACCUUGUCUAAACAAGAUAAGAAUCAGAGAACUCAGAGGGCUUCCAUAGCCUUGGAAACUCAUGACUGGAGCAUAGGGAGAUUACUGAUGCCAUAGACAGGAGUGUCAAUUGGUAAAGUCAACAACAGGAGUCACUGUGCACUUACUCCUCAUGUAGGAUCUUUGUCCUUAAUGUGCUGUGCAUUGAGAUUUAAUGCUAUAACGAGUACUCAAACAAUACAUUUCACUUUGUGUUUCUAUGGGGGUGCAAACUGUUGAAAUCUUUAUUUAAUGCAUACUAAACUGAUCCUCUGUAAAAAAAAAAAAAAAAAAAGAAAUUAUCAAUUCCCAACUUGACUCUCACUGGGGUUAAACAUGACAAUAGGUCUGAUCUGAUUUCAUCAUCAUUUAAAAAAAAUCAUCUAUUAUUUUUCACUUUAUGUUUCUGUGUGGGAGCAAACUGUUGAAAUCCUUACUUAAUGUAUACUAAGCUGAUCUUCUGUAUAUUAAGCUAAUCAAAAAUGAAUCUUGAUGUGAAUGGAAGGGGAGAGGGAGUGGGAAA